CCAGAGUUUCCUUUGGACCUGACAGUGAGCUCCUGUCAAAGAAAGGGAAGGAGGGAAGAACUCAAAUAUGUAAACGUCAGCAUGGCAAACUGUGGCAUGAUCAUACAGGCAAUGUUGACCCAUCACUUCAAAGAUGUACUUGAAAUACUAUAACAUAACCAGAUGUAGUGGCACACACCUUUGACCCAGCACUAGGGAGGCAGAGGAUAUGGCAGUGAUGCCAUGCUAGUUUCCUGUCCUGGGCCUGAAAUGGCUUUGCAUCUUUUCCUUGGCCCUCCUGAAACCCCCAGGCUACCCUAUGAGGGAUCCUGCAGGCCAGACCAUGAGAUUCUAUAGGUUAGACAACUUGGGUCACAAUUCACCAUAUAGAGAGAGUCCAGCUGGCAGCCACAACUACCAACGUGAACAAGACUAUCAGCAACCCUGCACCCCCAGGCUACACUUAAGGCCCUGAGGGACCUCAGGCAAGAGCCACAACAGAUUAAGCACUCAGCUGAGCAGAGCCCCCCAAGCAGGAAUGGAAGGAAUCAAAUGAGGGGCUGGAAGAACACCAACCGUGACCAAUCCGUGACCCUUAUUAUCUCUGUUUAGUCAUUUGUGGUAUCUCUUCCCCACCUACCUACCUACUCCCACUUGUUCCCUGGAAUAAGCUCCAACAGCUGUGGACUGUGCCCAGUUGCCAGUACUUCAGAUGACACCCAGGAGGUACUUGAUAAACGUUUGUUGAGAGAAUGACUAAAGAAUGUCCAAGCUGCCAGGUAUGGUGGCGCACGCCUUUGAUCCCAGCACUGGACCUAUAAACAGAAUCCAAGUGGGUCCCUUCUGAAGGAGGUGGGAUUAUUCACCAGAUGCCCCCGCCCCCGUCCUGUGGUCCAAUCAUGAGUGUUUUAGCAAAGAAGUCUGAGUAGGCCAGACCUAUGCCAGUCAAUGUCACCCAUGCAGCUAUCCAGCUGGGCAAUGCUGGACCCCUCCAGGGCAGUCCCUAUCACAGCCCUUGGCAUGGUGUUAACACAGUCACUGUUCACACUCAAAGCAGCCAUUUAUUCAUCGUUAGAAUCCAAACCAGCAAGACUGUGAAGGGC
rnacentral:lncRNA from 1 species